rnacentral:lncRNA from 1 species
UUUGUUUCUUUACUGGCAUUUUUCCUGUUUGAAAGAAAUAGUUUAUUAGUUUGUGUCUGUAUAGGAUAAUAAAAUUUAAACUGCUCAAAAAUCGCUUACAGUUUCACUGCAACUUCUAUCUGAAGGCCUUACAGCCUGUUGCAAACCACUGGUUUGUAUUUGUCUGGAGUGGUAGAAACCUUUAUCAUGUGUCAAAGUAUUUUUCUCUUGGUAAAACGCAAUCUGAAAAGAAAACUUCCAUCAAAAGCAUUCCGUUUCAGUAUUAUGACCUUCAAAUAGUUUCAGACAAAUAUUCUUUUUCAUAUUCAUCUCCCUCGGGAGAAUACUGCAAGAAUAAGUGUUCUUGAACUAAAUGACUCGUUUCAAUUAUUUACUUACAGAAGAGAAGGACAGCUGUUUAUUGUGACCUCUGUCCAGCAAAGGCCCAGUUAACUCCUUACGAGGAGUAAAAUGUGGGAAAAGUCACGAAGAAGUGUAGAUCUUCAAAGGAUAAUGUGCAGUAAGAUGCCAUUCAGCACGGUGAAGAAUAUCACAUUGUGGCCCAGAGUAGCAGUAAUGUUAUUCGGGAAGCCUUGAGAAUCAAAAUUUCCUAUCUCCUACUCCUGUGCUACAUGUGAAGAAGAGAGUAUAAACAUAAAAAUCAUUUAAAAUACAAUCUUGCACUGAGUUUAUCUGCAGAGCAAUCACUCAGAUAGUAACAGUUUAUACCAGGAGAAAGUUUGGCCAUUAAAAAUCUACAGCUGAACAGUGCUGCAUGAAAGCUAGAGAGUAUUACAGUUAUUACUGCAUCCCUUUUACAAGGCCUUUAGGGAUAAAGACAUUUUUAACAAUUGCCCUGCCUGAAGCUCAACUGCACAGUCCACUGGGCUGCUUGUGUAAGACAUCUUGCUUGGUGCCAUCCAUGCUCUGUGUUCAGGCUAGUUCUGCUGCAGAAGCAUAUUGAGACAGUCUGCAAUCCAUGAAGAUUGGAAAAGCAGAGUAUGGAAGCAGAGUGCUCCAUGGAGGGUCGUGAUGGAGGAGACUAGAACCACAUGGAAGCAGCCUAACUAUGCUCCCUUAAGGGCCAGCUCUUUGUUGCAUGCAACAUCUGACUGUAUCCAUGCUUUUUUUGCAAGUAAUCCAUAGCAUGUUGAACUUAACAUAGGCUGCAGAGGAGUGUGCUUAAAAGUCCAUUAUAUGUCAACUAUAACAAUAGGCAAGUAUAUUUUAAGUGUUAUGAACUUCUCUAGUCCAACAGUAGGCAACAGUAGGGUGCUUAUUUCAGGAUGUGUUUGGUCACCCCCACAACCUUGUGCCAAAGACUGGCACCAAUAGCAGAGAUUCUGGCACGUAGUGGCUUGCUAAAUGUGUCAAGAGAAAGA